rnacentral:rRNA from 1 species
CAGUCGCCACGGUAAUACGAAGGGGGCUAGCGUUGUUCGGAUUUACUGGGCGUAAAGCGCACGUAGGCGGACUUUUAAGUCAGGGGUGAAAUCCCGGGGCUCAACCCCGGAACUGCCUUUGAUACUGGAAGUCUUGAGUAUGGUAGAGGUGAGUGGAAUUCCGAGUGUAGAGGUGAAAUUCGUAGAUAUUCGGAGGAACACCAGUGGCGAAGGCGGCUCACUGGACCAUUACUGACGCUGAGGUGCGAAAGCGUGGGGAGCAAACAGGAUUAGAUACCCGCGUAGUCCCUGUCUCUUAUAU